ACAGCAGUAGCCGCGGUAAUGCGUAGGUCCCGAGCGUUGUCCGGAUUUAUUGGGCGUAAAGCGAGCGCAGGCGGUUAGAUAAGUCUGAAGUUAAAGGCUGUGGCUUAACCAUAGUACGCUUUGGAAACUGUUUAACUUGAGUGCAGAAGGGGAGAGUGGAAUUCCAUGUGUAGCGGUGAAAUGCGUAGAUAUAUGGAGGAACACCGGUGGCGAAAGCGGCUCUCUGGUCUGUAACUGACGCUGAGGCUCGAAAGCGUGGGGAGCAAACAGGAUUAGAUACCCGGGUAGUCCCUGUCUCUUAUACC
rnacentral:rRNA from 1 species